AUCGCAAGUGCCAGAGCUCUCCCUGCUGCAGUUUUCUAGUCGCAGUGCGGCAAAGCAGACGCCUAGAACCGGGCACGGAGCAGCAUAGGCUUUAUUAUUUUGUAUUUAAAAACCUUCCAUCUGUUUUACUGCAGUGUACAUUUUUUUACCUUUGUCCAGGAGAUGCAUACCACCUGGAUGUGCACGUUAGCUUCAGACAUUCGCAGCGUCUCUUGAACGGAGGCACACACUGCUCGGAGCCUUUUACCUAAAUUGCCUCUGACGAAGAGCGAUUGGUUUUUCUGCCUUGUAUGUGAACAGUUGCUUAUGCCACAACGACACACACCUGCAGGAACAGGACAAAGGAGACGAUACCUGUUACUGUCUGGGGCCUUUUUAACCCCCCCUUCUGUUUUUGGCUGUUGUUUUUUUGCAAGCGCUCUGCUGCGGAAGCCUUCUCAAUAUCCCAGACUAAUAUAUUAGUUCCUGGUCCUAUAGAUAUAGCCACAGUUUCUCCCACCGGUUAGAGCAAAAGCUCAAGCGAGAAAGCAGACUCCCUGACCUAAAUCAAUCCCAGUCCUUUUGGAUGGAUGCAGGGUAGCAGUCGGCUAGCAGUGUCACAGCCAGCCAUCAAGUGGAGAAUCUCUGGGAUUGCAAUCUCUUUCGCUUUCAGCCUGUGAGAAUCGAGUGCUCCACUUUGCUACCCAACUGCUGCUGGUUUCUGUUUUUUUACAUUUCUUUUCCAUAAGCAGCUAUUUACUUGUGGUUUUCUUUUUUCUUUCUCUUUUUUUUUUUAGCCUCCUAAGUGUAUAUUUGUGUGGAUUAGUCUGUCGUGAGCGCAGUCCUUGUCCGCGUCACAUUGGAAGCGAGGGCACUGAAGUCAGCCUGCCUUAACAGUUGUUUCUUUCUGCGUGAUGCUAUGCAGCUAGAAUGGGUUACAUUGACAACAAAGGAAGACGCACAAAACACCACUAUCUUCUGGGUUGUUGUUUCAGGAGAAUAUAUAACUCUUCUUCAGUUGCAACACGCUCUUUUUUUUGUAUUUUGCUGUUUCUUUUUCCUUUUUCCUUCUCUAAAGCCAUCUAAUCAAAGAACAGGCAACGUUGUGGAUGUGGGUUUUCAAAAUGCUAUUGGAGGGGGGGCGGCGAUGUGAUGGGGGGAGAGAAAAAGACAGCUCGUGGAGAACUGUGAUUUGUGGCAAGCAGCACAUCCUUUGCAUUCUUGCUGAUUUGAAAGACUCAGGUUUUUGUUGGUUUUUUUGCGAAGAGGAAGCCCUAAGGGACAAGUUCUGUAACUAAGAAAGCGAUCGUAGAUAAAGGAAUAAAAAUGACAAGCGUAAAUGGAGGCUCAGAGCAGAAGAAACUGUCAGUGCCUGGAUGGCAGCUUCACCCAGUCUGAAUAAUUAUGAAUAAUUCAUAGAACAAAAUUACUCUGCUUUCACCUUUUCCACUUAAAAUGGCAUGAUGUGAAUCUCUAAUAAAUUUUCAAGAUAAAAUAUAAUGCCAAUUUGAAUCCGAAGAGCUUUUUUUCCUCCUUUUUGCAGCCAGAUGCUACACGCCGAUUCUUCCAGUAUACCUUUCACAAUUAUUCCGUGAGAAUCCCACUUCAUCACGAAGCACCAUUACCAAUGAAAAUUACUGUGAUUACAAUGGCAACAAUAGAAUGCCAUCAAACGAUUUCUAAUUUACCUAAUUUGCUAAGGCUGACUGCAUUAGUUUCAUUGCCCUGGUCUCCAUGCCUGGCAUCUUGGAUCCAUAUCAGAAAGAGACAAAAGUAGCAUCGGUGUUCAGCACCUUUAACUCCGACGGCACAGGAGAAAAUGCAGCCAUGUGUUUCAUGGUUUCAGCCAUGUAUGUGUUACACGCCAGCUUUUCCGUCAUCCUUGGCGAUUUUGUUUAGCUUCUGGGCGUAGGAUGGAAUUCUGUUACAGGACAAAGUGAAGUGACUGGAGGAGCCCUUAUGAAGACGGCAGGGGAAACGCUGGAGAAGCUCGGAGCUAGACCAAGGAAUUUGAGGAGAAGGCUCAAAAGGUCUAAAGACGGAAUGAACGCAGCAAAAGUUGGUUGAUGAGGUAGGCAGUGGCUGGUUGCUCAAGCAGUAAACCACUUCUAAGUGCCAUGCUUCGCUUCCCAGAGACAUCUGGGAAUGCUGGACUUUGGUCUGUCCCAGUGUGGUUCUUACCUAUGGUUGUGAUAAGGUAUUAUUUGCAUUUUAAGGCCAUGGAAGUAUAUGUUGUUGCCAUUAUUAUUAUUAUUAUUAUUAUUAUUAUUAUUAUUAUUAUUAUUAUUAUUAUUUCUGCCAUUAUACAGUUUCCUUACCACUCAGUGACUCCUAAAGCAGCUGACGGUCAAUGAAAUACAAAAACCAAAUCAAUUAUUAACACCGCACAACAAAACAGCAACUCGAAGCUAUAAACAUCAAAGGAGGAAUCAUUAAACAACAGAGUUUCCCUGCUCUUCAAAUCUCCAGCCAAAAGCAUAUUUAACUGGAAAAUGCAGUAGCAAAAUAGUUUAACAAUUUGGCCCAAUACCAAUUUGUAAACUAAAAGCCUGUGGCCUCAGUCCUGUAGUUCACUUAUUCUGAGUUUCAUUUGGUUUUUUUUUAAACUCCAAAGACAGCAGGUAUGCAAGCGCUUAGUCAGUACAAAAAUGUUUAGGCUCUUCUUCAGUCAUGUAGUGUUGGAUCCAGAGCAAAUUUGUGAUGCUUUGUUCCCAUAGAAGUCAAUGCAACUUGGGCUACAGACCUACACAUAGGGACUGUAAUUACCUGAGAAUGUUUGACUUGUUUCUGCACAGACGUAUAAGGUUGCACUGCUAAGUUAAUAAUCAGUAACAUUGCACACUGAUUUCAGUGGCGCCUAACUGCUACUAAUUUGGUCUGGUUCUUCUCCACACUUCCAUUUCUCCCAUGAUUUCUACUCAUGGGUCCAAGAGGUGUGUUUUGUCCUACCAUUUGUUCCAAUUCAGCAAUAAACAGUGGGGUUUGUAUCUCUGGCUAGAAAGCACAGAACAAAUGGAAAUGUAGAAGAGCUCACUGGGAGGGGGCAUAGAAAUACUCAAUUUUAGCUGGCAAAAUAUUUUUAGUAUGCCAAAAGGCUGUGUAUACAUUCCCAUUUACUCUGCAGGCAGUUGUGCUGGUUUGGGAAGCAGUGUACACAUGGCAUUAGCCGCAGUCCAUAUCUAGCUGGUAGCUAUCCUGUUGUUGCUUAUGAAAUGCUGCAUUUUGAUGCAUUUUCCUCUAAACCAGCUUUGAUCCUAACUGAGAAAAAGAAUGACACAGCUGUGUUUUAAGCAGGCAACAUGUUAUAGUGUGUUGGGGACCAUUUCAAACAUUUCCGUUCUUCUUCCCUGGAGAUAAACAGAGUGCAUAACAUCACUACUGCAUACUGGACUUCCUAAUCUGUAACUUUGCAGGUCAGCACCAGGCUGCAGAGGGACUAGGAAAGCAUCUCUUAAUAAGUAAGCAUGUGGUUUCACCACCAGGAGUUAGAAAAUUCAUGUAAACAAGUUCCUCUCUGAAACCUAGUUCUCACAGGCAUCAGAUGAGGGGGGGAAACCUGUUCGUCAACAGCAGGUGACUAUACCACUGCAGACUGCAAGGGGUAGGGAAUGAUUAUCCAUCUAAUUAAAUUAUCUCCUUGUAGAAAGUUAGUAUGCCCACAAAAAGACACAUUGCAACCUUUGUUGCUAACGUCUAACUUUUAUAUAGAAUGGAUGCACAUGAAGACCCUUGGAUCAUUGGUUGCAUGCUUAAAGUGUUACAGAGAUGACAACUCUAAUAUAAUAAAAAAAAACCUAAUUAAAAUGCAGUGUGUGCUUAAUUUGUCAUGCUCUCCUUCAUCAAUGGUUCCUCCUUUGCCUAGGACAAAAAUGGGAAAGACCCAUAUGAAUGGGGUGGAUUGUGAUCUAAUUUCACAACAUAUUAUGGUUCCUAACAUAGGAAGGCAUCUUAAACAGUCAGAUUCCUGGUCUAUCUGGUUCAGUGUUGUCUGAACUGGGGAGUAUGUAACCUACAUCCUGGGGGCUGAAAGAGCCCCACUAGGCUUCUGUAUCCAGCUCAUGGGAGUCUCCCCAGGCCACAUCCCUCCACACAUUACUUGAGUGCUUUUCCUAGCAUGUUAACUGGAACUGAGAUACUGCUUCUUGCUUGAAAUGUCGGACUUGCAUGGCAGGAAUGUAACCUACUGAGUGAAGGUAAGAGUUGUUUCAGUUCUUCUGCCCGUUGUUACCUCUGGUCCCACCCACCUGCUGGCAAGCCCCCCACCCCACCCCUAGGGUUGCCCACAAAAGAAUGUGACGUCCUGGCUGAAAAAUACUUAUCUGCUCCUGGUCUACAUGGACUGACUGGCAAUGGUUUUUUCAUAGUUUCAGACAGGAGGCUUUCUCAGUCUGGAGAUGCCAGAAAUUGAACCUUGGAUCUUCUGCCUGCAAAGCACAUUUUUCCAAAAUGUCUGUGCAAAUUAAGAAAAUAUCAUAUUGAACCUCUUUAAAGCACCUUUGGCUUUUAAGAGGAUAGAAAUCUUGUGCUUUUUGGAUCAUGACUUUCAGUUGCUAUUUGUUGCUGAUAAAGUUUGUCGUCUUAUUUGGGACACUCAGAAGCCCAACUCUAAAGGGUAGCCGCUAUUCAGAAAAAGUUGAUUGCGAUUAAGUGGAGGCCCAUUUCCUUUUCAUAGGACUUAGUCCAAACUAGCUUUGGCUGGGCAAUGGCCAAUGUGUUGGGGAUCCAGAGAAAGUUGUCCUUAUCUGCUCCUGACAGCUUUGGGAUUAAUUGCAAUGAAUAUGUCCUACUGCUUUCGAUGGGAGUUAGAUGCAACUAAUUUUCUCUGGACAGAGGCUAGCAUAAACAAACAGCAUUAUAUUACAGACUCUGUAGUGUCUCAAACUUUCUACCUUUAACUAAAAUAAGUAUUUAUUUGCAUAUUUUGGAAUAAGUGGAAUGCAACAAAUCUCUAUAAUGGUUUCACACUUGGAACACUGUCCAUGUAAUGAACACUCUACAAACUCAAUAAGAUGUUCCUGGAUCAAGUUUGCAGUGAUAGGUUAAUUUGGGGAUUUUACUGUAUGUUAUUGAAGGAUUUUUAUUUUGUUGGUCCUUGGAUUGGUGAGAUCCACCCUGACCUCCUUUAUUCAUCAUCUGCAUUUCAUGAUUAUUUAUUUGUUUACAUGCUGUUGUAGUUUAAUGUAGUUUACUGUGUUUGUAUUAGGUAAACUGCCCUGGGAGUUUGCCUAAAGCAAAUAAAUAUUUAUUGUGUAAUCCCAGAAGCUCCCAGGUUGGUUAGCAAUGUAAAAAUAAAUAAAUU